CCCUUAGAUGUUCUGGGCUGCACACGUGCUACACUGGCAGGUUCAGCGAGCUUCAUGCCCUGAUCUGAAAGGAAUGGGAAAUCUUUUCAAAACCUGCCGUGCUUGGGAUAGAUGUUUGCAAUUAUUCAUCUUCAACGAGGAUUGCCUUGUAAGCGCACGUCAUCAGCGUGCAUUGAAUACGACCCUGUAUUCUGUACACACUGCCCGUCGCUCCUACCGAUUGAAGUUUUCGGUGAGUUGACAGGAGGAUUUUUUUGAAACUGGUUCGCCAGUGGAUUUUAGAUCCAAAUGCCAACGAAUCGAUGGCUUUAGAGGAAGGAGAAGUCGUAACA
rnacentral:rRNA from 1 species